CUUUUCAAUAAUUUUCUUUUUAGAUGUGACAUUAAAAAAUGAAUGCAAUAUCAACAAAUGUGCUGACUAAUUUUUAAAUAAUGUUUUGUUGCCAUAAUUAUGCAGUUUUACCAGCAGUCCAGCAGUUAUGGCAAUAUCUAAAGCUCGACAAACCAAAGAUGCAAGUUCAAAGAUUUCUAUCAAAUUGUAUAAAGAGGAGCAUUCGAACGUUAUAGUUGCUCUCAAGCGAAGUGAAGAUUCAAGAUUUGUAAGGAUGCUUAGCAGUUGAGAUGAAUAUUAAUAUGUUUGAAUAUAUUUUGUACGAAUAUUUUAACAUAAUUAUAAUAGUUAUUAC